CCGGUGGCGAAGGCGGCCCCCCUGGACAGAUACUGACACUCAGAUGCGAAAGCGUGGGGAGCAAACAGGAUUAGAUACCCUUGGUAGUGCACGCCGUAAACGAUGUCUACUUGGAGGUUGUGGCCUUGAGCCGUGGCUUUCGGAGCUAACGCGUUAAGUAGACCGCCUGGGGAGUACGGUCGCAAGAUUAAAACUCAAAUGAAUUGACGGGGGCCCGCACAAGCGGUGGAGCAUGUGGUUUAAUUCGAUGCAACGCGAAGAACCUUACCUACUCUUGACAUCCAGAGAACUUUCCAGAGAUGGAUUGGUGCCUUCGGGAACUCUGAGACAGGUGCUGCAUGGCUGUCGUCAGCUCGUGUUGUGAAAUGUUGGGUUAAGUCCCGCAACGAGCGCAACCCUUAUCCUUGUUUGCCAGCGAGUAAUGUCGGGAACUCCAGGGAGACUGCCGGUGAUAAACCGGAGGAAGGUGGGGACGACGUCAAGUCAUCAUGGCCCUUACGAGUAGGGCUACACACGUGCUACAAUGGCGCAUACAGAGGGCAGCCAACUUGCGAAAGUGAGCGAAUCCCAAAAAGUGCGUCGUAGUCCGGAUUGGAGUCUGCAACUCGACUCCAUGAAGUCGGAAUCGCUAGUAAUCGUGGAUCAGAAUGCCACGGUGAAUACGUUCCCGGGCCUUGUACACACCGCCCGUCACACCAUGGGAGUGGGCUGCAAAAGAAGUAGGUAGUUAACCUUCGG
rnacentral:rRNA from 1 species